GCAAAUCUCCGUCACAGAGUCUGCCUCCCUGAGAACCCAAUUUAAGACCUUGGUGCCGGGAAUAGUCCUGGAAAGUAAUCUCUAAAAUGGGAUUUUGGAAUUAGGUCAUCUGCCAACUAAUUAGCAAUGAGGUCUCCAUUCCUGGUAAUACAUGGAAUGUGGACAGUCCCUGGCAUGUUGUAGCAGUGCAAUUGUAAUUUUAAAGGCAAUGGAAUUAGGUUACUCUUGCUGAGUGUGAUCAACACACUGAAGAAAGACAAUAAAAAGUGAAGCGAGUUGAAGCAAAGUGUGAAUUCAGAGGGCCUUCUCAGAAGCAUCUGAAAGGACAAUCACAUUGCCUGUAGCCAGAGAGAAGAAAAUGUGAGAGGAUCAGUCUCAGGACUUAAUUACCAGCACAGCUGAGAACCAGAGAAGGUUGAAUGGUCUGCUCUCCAGCAAGUCAGCUGUGUCAAGGUCAGAGCUUUGAUUGGGAAGGAAUGAGACCCAUUAACCUGGAAUGAGGACAUCUGGGUGAAUGCAUUAAAGAACACCCAAAACCCCAGGAGUCCUUGGACCCUUGGCUCCUGCAAAGUAGCCCACUUCUCCCUACUAUAGGGCAUCACUCCCCUUGUCUGAAGAUGGAGCAGAGUCCUCUGUCUUGUAGGAAAACACACUGCUCCUGCCUUAGGAUUUACCCCCAGCUACACUCAUGGCUGCUGACAGUUAAUUAGGGACACACUCCAACACCACCUGACCAGGGAUAUACUACUGGGCCUGCUGAGGGUGGGAGGAGCCUAGACACUGAAGGAGCUGCAGGAUCCACACAAUGUACCAUCUGUGCUGCCCAGCUCUGCAGUUCUGGACUCUGAGGAUCUAGUGGUCCUGGUUCCCACAGGGAAAAAUUCCUCCAGUGGGGCUCGCGGCAAGAAUUCCUUUCAACCUGAAGCUACGGCUGCAAGCUGGUCACUUUAAUCUCUGUGUGCCAAAGGCAAAGAAGGGAGUCACCAUGAGGCAGCUAUAAUUUAACCGUCAGAAGAAGCAGGGAAGCUGCUACAAAAGGGAAGAAUUCACAUGGUACUCGGGUCAUCCACUGGGUCAUCUCUUGGUACUCUCAGUUCCCCAAGUUUGACCAUAAAUGGCCACGUGCAACAGCCAUAGCCAGAAGGGCCACCAGAAGCUCAGACCACUCAGGAGUGAGCAUCUGGGUCCCUCCACCACAUGAGCCACUUAGACCAGCAGAGAUGCUAAAAGGUAAAGGGAAUUUAGAACAUGUAGUAGAGUAGGGACACAAGGACCAUUUGUAGCCUUAGUACCGGCUGCAAUGUUGGGGGCUUUUGGUUCAUCCACUAUGCCUCCUGUUGUCAGCUUUCCCAGGAAGAGAAACCAUCCAGAAUCCUGGAGGAGCUGUUUCCAGAUGGGCUGUACUUAUACAUGAGUGUCUCAGGAUGCAUGCGAUGAAUAUUGGGUACUGCCCAAACCCUUUCCUCGGGGAAGCCUCUUAUUCUCCCAGCUGCCAGCAUUAGUGCCUGUUCAUGGCUUCAGGUGAGCCCCUCCCAGGAUUGCCAUCAGCUGAAGGGAGCUGCCUCUUCCGGGGUCAAGUUGCCUCUGUAGGAGGGGAGCUGUCUGCAUACAGUGACUGGUUGGUGUGCCCCUUUGUCUCAGUUACAGGACAACUCUGAAGAGCUUUAUUCACUGAUUCCCGGAGGACCCACUAAGACUGCUGUUGAGAUGUACGUCAUCACAGUUAACUCCUCCCAGUCUGUCCCCUUGGGAGCCCAAUCUAAGACAAGAGGUAAACUCUAAGAAGGCAAGUGUCAAAUUAACAGCUCCGAAACUAAUAAACGUAGCGUCUUCAUGGAAAAAUUAUGGUCCUGAAAGAAUGAGGACUUGCUUCCUUCUUGCCGAAGCCAAAUCCUGAAGAUGUGGCGCUGAAUGUCGAGAAGACCAGAGCUCACUCAGAUCCUGGAUUCUCGUGUUCUCUGUUGCCUUCGGUUCGCAAUCACAGUGCCUUCACCAAGGCCUAGUGCUGCUGCUUGGAAAAGAAGACUUGGGAAUUCUUUCAAGAGAAGCAUAAAUCCGAGUUCGGGUCUUGGAAAGUGGCAAAGGCAGCCGUCAUUUGAAUGCCAUCGAACAGCUUUUCAGCUAACACAAAAGAGCAGACGGUUCCACUUAUUUCUGAAAUUAGAUGCAAUCAUAUCUGUGAAUCACGCAGCAGCAAAGCACCGUAAUCUGCAUCACAAUACAUUAUCCUGCCCCGCUCCCUAACUGCAGUCUACCGACGCAACAGAGACACUUUGCGGUGACCUGUGCUGUGUCUGCCGAAAGCGCUAAGCCACGCUAAGGCAGUAAAGCGACAAAGAAGAACCGCUUUCUGCUGCAAAAAAAGAGCAAAUUAUAACAAGAGUCAAGUCUCAGCUAAUGCAAGACUAGCAUCUUCUUGUUCACAGUUUGCAUAAUUAGAUAUCAUGAAUAGGUUUUUUUAUGGUUCUAAAAAUACUCCUGCUUUGUUUAAAUCAGCUAUUUCGUUAACAGCAUGACUUUGCUACCAGAAUUAGUGAGGUAGUUAGGGCAGCGGCGGA